rnacentral:rRNA from 1 species
UACGGGGGGGGCAAGCGUUGUUCGGAAUUACUGGGCGUAAAGCGCACGUAGGCGGCUUUGUAAGUUAGAGGUGAAAGCCCAGAGCUCAACUCUGGAACUGCCUUUAAGACUGCAUCGCUUGAAUCAUGGAGAGGUCAGUGGAAUUCCGAGUGUAGAGGUGAAAUUCGUAGAUAUUCGGAAGAACACCAGUGGCGAAGGCGACUGACUGGACAUGUAUUGACGCUGAGGUGCGAAAGCGUGGGGAGCAAACAGG